rnacentral:rRNA from 1 species
AUUGAACGCUGGCGGCAUGUUUUACACAUGCAAGUCGAACGGCAGCGCGGGCUUCGGCCUGGCGGCGAGUGGCGAACGGGUGAGUAAUGCAUCGGAACGUGCCCAGUAGUGGGGGAUAGCCCGGCGAAAGCCGGAUUAAUACCGCAUACGACCUGAGGGUGAAAGCGGGGGACCGAAAGGCCUCGCGCUAUUGGAGCGGCCGAUGUCGGAUUAGCUAGUUGGUGGGGUAAAGGCUUACCAAGGCGACGAUCCGUAGCUGGUCUGAGAGGACGACCAGCCACACUGGGACUGAGACACGGCCCAGACUCCUACGGGAGGCAGCAGUGGGGAAUUUUGGACAAUGGGGGCAACCCUGAUCCAGCCAUGCCGCGUGCGGGAAGAAGGCCUUCGGGUUGUAAACCGCUUUUGUUCGGGAAGAAAUCCUCUGGGCUAAUACCCCGGGGGGAUGACGGUACCGGAAGAAUAAGCACCGGCUAACUACGUG